rnacentral:rRNA from 1 species
UUUUAUGGAGAGUUUGAUCCUGGCUCAGGAUGAACGCUGGCGGCGUGCCUAAUACAUGCAAGUCGAGCGAACGGACGAGAAGCUUGCUUCUCUGAUGUUAGCGGCGGACGGGUGAGUAACACGUGGAUAACCUACCUAUAAGACUGGGAUAACUUCGGGAAACCGGAGCUAAUACCGGAUAAUAUUUUGAUCUGCAUGGUUCAAAAGUAAAAGACGGUCUUGCUGUCACUUAUAGAUGGAUCCGCGCUGCAUUAGCUAGUUGGUAAGGUAACGGCUUACCAAGGCAACGAUGCAUAGCCGACCUGAGAGGGUGAUCGGCCACACUGGAACUGAGACACGGUCCAGACUCCUACGGGAGGCAGCAGUAGGGAAUCUUCCGCAAUGGGCGAAAGCCUGACGGAGCAACGCCGCGUGAGUGAUGAAGGUCUUCGGAUCGUAAAACUCUGUUAUUAGGGAAGAACAUAUGUGUAAGUAACUGUGCACAUCUUGACGGUACCUAAUCAGAAAGCCACGGCUAACUACGUGCCAGCAGCCGCGGUAAUACGUAGGUGGCAAGCGUUAUCCGGAAUUAUUGGGCGUAAAGCGCGCGUAGGCGGUUUUUUAAGUCUGAUGUGAAAGCCCACGGCUCAACCGUGGAGGGUCAUUGGAAACUGGAAAACUUGAGUGCAGAAGAGGAAAGUGGAAUUCCAUGUGUAGCGGUGAAAUGCGCAGAGAUAUGGAGGAACACCAGUGGCGAAGGCGACUUUCUGGUCUGUAACUGACGCUGAUGUGCGAAAGCGUGGGGAUCAAACAGGAUUAGAUACCCUGGUAGUCCACGCCGUAAACGAUGAGUGCUAAGUGUUAGGGGGUUUCCGCCCCUUAGUGCUGCAGCUAACGCAUUAAGCACUCCGCCUGGGGAGUACGACCGCAAGGUUGAAACUCAAAGGAAUUGACGGGGACCCGCACAAGCGGUGGAGCAUGUGGUUUAAUUCGAAGCAACGCGAAGAACCUUACCAAAUCUUGACAUCCUUUGACAACUCUAGAGAUAGAGCCUUCCCCUUCGGGGGACAAAGUGACAGGUGGUGCAUGGUUGUCGUCAGCUCGUGUCGUGAGAUGUUGGGUUAAGUCCCGCAACGAGCGCAACCCUUAAGCUUAGUUGCCAUCAUUAAGUUGGGCACUCUAAGUUGACUGCCGGUGACAAACCGGAGGAAGGUGGGGAUGACGUCAAAUCAUCAUGCCCCUUAUGAUUUGGGCUACACACGUGCUACAAUGGACAAUACAAAGGGCAGCGAAACCGCGAGGUCAAGCAAAUCCCAUAAAGUUGUUCUCAGUUCGGAUUGUAGUCUGCAACUCGACUACAUGAAGCUGGAAUCGCUAGUAAUCGUAGAUCAGCAUGCUACGGUGAAUACGUUCCCGGGUCUUGUACACACCGCCCGUCACACCACGAGAGUUUGUAACACCCGAAGCCGGUGGAGUAACCUUUUAGGAGCUAGCCGUCGAAGGUGGGACAAAUGAUUGGGGUGAAGUCGUAACAAGGUAGCCGUAUCGGAAGGUGCGGCUGGAUCACCUCCUUUCUAA